UACAUAGGGUGCAAGCGUUGUUCGGAAUUAUUGGGCGUAAAGCGCGUGUAGGCGGCUUUGCAAGUCGGGUGUGAAAGCCCUCAGCUCAACUGAGGAAGUGCGCCCGAAACUGCAGAGCUUGAGUACCGGAGAGGAUGGCGGAAUUCCCCAAGUAGAGGUGAAAUUCGUAGAUAUGGGGAGGAACACCGGUGGCGAAGGCGGCCAUCUGGACGGAUACUGACGCUGAGACGCGAAAGCGUGGGUAGCAAACAGG
rnacentral:rRNA from 1 species